ACUACCAACCCUUGUGUCAUUAUCAUAUAUCCAUAUCUAUAUAUAUAUAUAUAUAGAGAGAGAGAGAGGGAUAGAUAGAUACAAUCUCUCUCUCUCUCAUAUUUUUUAAGCUUUGGAAUUGCAGAAGGAGCAUAACGAUGUUCGAAGAAUUAUCGUCUUUCCACAGAAUCUUCAAAUCCACACUCAUGAACCCUCCGAUGAAACCCUUCUUCUUGCUGAGAAUCCAGCUGCAAUGGCGCCGACGCCAUGAUCGUACCUGUCGAAGAAACCUGACCAGAAACAAUUAGAUUAGACGACGAAGACAAUGACAAGGAGCCUUCACGACGAAACCCUUGAAUUGCAGAGACGUAAUUAAAAUUAGGGCUUUGAUGAUCAUCGGAGUUCUGACGUGGCGCCUGGUGAGCCGUCGCCGGCGGUUGUUUUCCGACGGGAACCCUCUCGGGGAAGUUCAGCUUCGCCUUGCUGCCCUUGAAUCUGAAGGCGGCGGCGUCGUACGCCACCGCCGCGGCCUCGGCGGAGUCGAAUGUCCCCAGCCACACCCUGGCGGCCUUCACCGGGUCGCGAAUCUCCGCCGCCCACUUCCCCCAUGGCCGCCGCCGCACUCCCCGGUAGUGAUUUCUCCGAAUUAGGGUUUCCUUAUCCCCAAUUUUGAUUUCUACGCCAUAAUCGUCAAUUAAUUCGUCGAUUUUUAAAUUAAACACAGAUAUACAUACCUACAUACAUAUAUAUAUAAUUAUUUUGUAUGUAUUUAAUUGAAUUUACCUGGUUGUGGUUGGUGGUGGGAGGAUUGGGCGGCGGCUAGGGUUCCGGCGGGGGAAUUGUCGCCGGAAAUCUGCGGCGGCGGUAGUUGUGGUGGUUGUUGAUCUCCGCCGCCUUGGAGGACUCUGGAGAGGACGGCGACCAUGGCGAAGGUGUCGUGCUGGGAUCUAGCGGAGGAGUAGGGUGGAAGGAGGCUGCGGACAUCGUUAAUGGCGUCGUCGUCGGGGAAUUUGAGGUGGUCGGGAGGGCGAGGUCUCUUGGCCAUGGAUAUGGGUUUGAUUGAGGUCUUCGGAAGUGACAGACGAAUUGAAGCGUGUUGAAGAAGGGGAUAGGGAAAGAAUUGGAAUGGGAAUUUAAUGAAAGUCCAAGGACAAAAUGGACAAUUCACCUCUAGGGUUGAGACUUUUGGUCGCUCCUUUGGAGGUAUAUUUGGCACCCACAAUAUAAUAUAGUUCAGAAAAAAAAAAAAAAAAAGAAAAAAAGGGAAGAGAUUAUAGAGAAAAAGAAUUUGCUAGAAAAAUAUGAUAAUUGAUUUUAUGUUUGCAAAACAAAUGUUGGUCCAAAAAUUCAUUAAGCACUUGCAGCAACACCAACUCAUUUCAAAAUUCAUAAGUAAAUUUUUUCUUCAACACA